GAUGAACGCUGGCGGCGUGCCUAAUACAUGCAAGUCGAGCGAACAGACGAGGAGCUUGCUCCUCUGACGUUAGCGGCGGACGGGUGAGUAACACGUGGAUAACCUACCUAUAAGACUGGGAUAACUUCGGGAAACCGGAGCUAAUACCGGAUAAUAUAUUGAACCGCAUGGUUCAAUAGUGAAAGACGGUUUUGCUGUCACUUAUAGAUGGAUCCGCGCCGCAUUAGCUAGUUGGUAAGGUAACGGCUUACCAAGGCAACGAUGCGUAGCCGACCUGAGAGGGUGGUCGGCCACACUGGAACUGAGACGCGGUCCAGACUCCUACGGGAGGCAGCAGUAGGGAAUCUUCCGCAAGGGGCGAAAGCCUGACGGAGCAACGCCGCGUGAGUGAUGAAGGUCUUCGGAUCGUAAAACUCUGUUAUUAGGGAAGAACAAAUGUGUAAGUAACUAUGCACGUCUUGACGGUACCUAAUCAGAAAGCCACGGCUAACUACGUG
rnacentral:rRNA from 1 species